AGCAGUAACAGCGUGCACAAUGGCUGAGGUCCCCUUUCCUCUCCAGCAAUUCUGGGGAAUGUGGCAGCUGCCUGCAGGGUGUGUCAGUGGAUCCCGGUAUAUCUCUGUGCAUUCUGUUCCCAACCAGAGGCAGUUCUCCCCUGAUGUGUGUGACCCCAAAAAUCUCUGUUAUAACUUUUAACCCUAAACCCAAAAAUAAGUCACAAACAAAACAAAACAAGCAGCAUCCGGUUAUUGAUAGACCUCACAAACCAUAUUUCCAUUUCAGUGCAAUCAUGCAGAAUGAUGGGUCAUCUUGAGACUGCUGAGUGCAGUAAAAUGUGUUUGCUAGUACCUGUGUGUGUGUGUUUCAAACUUAAUGACCCCAGACCAGCAACUGAAAUGUCAUAGCAACCCAAACCACUGACUCCCUGCCAAAUGUAAUUUACAGCUGUAUGGUCAUAAAUGACCGGUGGUAAAUAGCAUGUGCCAUAACUCUAUAUCAAACAAGAGGUAUUAGAUACCCUACCAGCAAACCUUUUUCUAUUUAAAUUAUUUAUGGAAUUAUUUCACAGGCCUAUAGAAAGCAUAAUUGAAGUGUUAAAUGAGUUGAAAUACAGACUUGUAAACAUUUUUUAUUUUUAUUGUAUAAAUUUUUUCAUUUAUCCUUUUAACUAGUUAAGAAAAAAUAAUUGGUGACAUAUGUAGUUCAGGUUAAAAUAAAUGGAAAUAAAUGGUUUACUACUUGUUCUUACUACAAAACGUUCUCAACAUGGUAGCACCGUUACCAUGGAGAUAAAAUACAUAUCCUGACGCUCUGAACGAAAAGACAGGAAAAUGGAGUCAGAAUACUUGAAAAGGGGUAUUGGAAAAUGCAUCAUAGAAGGAUUAGCUGGGGUGGCCGAGUAUCGCCCCAUGGACCCCAUCGAAUUUCUUGCACAGUGGAUUUACAAGUAUAAAGGAAACAUGGACCAUGAGAAGAGAAAAAAGGCCUUCCAGCAGCAACUGGAGCAGGAGCAUCAGAAAGCCAUGGAUGAGGCUGUGCACCAGAGGCAGAUGGAGGAAAAAUAUAAGAUCACAAGGGAGGUCCCAGAAGAAGAACCCAUGUAUGUAUGCACAUUUGUGGCCUGCUGGAGGUCAUUUUGCAGGGCUCUGGCAGUGCACCUCCUUGCACUAAGGCGGAGGUAGCGGUCCUGCUGCUGGGUUGUUGCCCUCCUACGGCCUCCUCCACGUCUCCUGAUGUACUGGCCUGUCUCCUGGUAGCGCCUGCAUGCUCUGGACACUCCGCUGACAGACACAGCAAACCUUUUUGCCACAGUUCGCAUUGAUGUGCCAUCCUGGAUGAACUGCACUACCUGAGCCACUUGUGUGGGUUUUAGACUCCGUCUCAUGCUACCACUAGAGUGAGAGCACCGCCAGCAUUCAAAAGUGACCAAAACAUCAGCCAGGAAGCAUAGGAACUGAGAAGUGGUCUGUGGUCACCACCUGCAGAAUCACUCCUGUUUUGGGGGUGUCUUGCUAAUUGCCUAUAAUUUCCACCUUUUGUCUAUUCCAUUUGCAGAACAGCAUGUGAAAUUUAUUGUCAAUCAGUGUUGCUUCCUAAGUUGACAGUUUGAUUUCACAGAAGUGUGAUUGACUUGGAGUUACAUUGUGUUGUUUAAGUGUUCCCUUUAUUUUUUUGAGCAGUGUAUAUACAGUUGAAGUUGGAAGUUUACAUACACCUUAGCCAAAUACAUUUAAACUCAGUUUUUCACAAUUCCUGACAUUUAAUCCUAGUAAAAAGUCUCUGUCUUAGGUCAGUUAGGAUCACCACUUUAUUUUAAGAAUGUGAAAUGUGCAAAGCUGUCAUCAAGGCAAAUAAAGGUUGGCUAUUUGAAUAAUCUCAAAUGUAAAAUACAUUUUGAUUUGUUUAACACUUUUUUGGUAACUACAUGAUUCCAUAUGUGUUAUUUAAUCGUUUUGAUGACUUUUGACUGGUACAUAUACUUAAAAAAAAUAUUUUUUAAACACAUAUUUAACCCCUUUUUUAAGUCUGCACAAAACUUUACUUUAUUUUUUUUCAACCGGUACCGGUUACCUUUCGACGAGUCCCGUGACACUUGUGGUCGUAGAGCAAAAUGGAGAACACCAUCGUGAGAGUCUCCCCUUUCCAUGGGAGUGGUCAUAAUAGUUUUGUAUGUCAAACCGUUCGGAACACUACCGAUGUUUUCUGAGAAGAUACAUUUCCGGGAUGUCUCAUGGUCUGGCAAACACCGCUGUAGCUCUGCCACCUUUCACUGCAGAUGCGGAAGUGCGCCAUAGGCGGCUCUGGUGGAUUGAGACGCAUCCAAUGCAAAAAAAAAAAAAAAACAGAUAUCUCUAGCUUAAACUGACAGAUUUUGAUGAGGAUUUUUGUGACUAUGUUACUUAGAUUGAAGCACCGGUGCGUCAAUUGACUCUAGGGGGAUAUUCAUCCCGUCAACAUAUCAGCAGAUAUUUCAAGAGGAGCCUAAAGGGUCUGGUCAGACCACUUGGGUCAUAUCACCAGGUGUCAUGGAGAAUGAACCGUUGAAAUCAGAGGUACCCACCACCUCCACCUACGAAAAUGAGCAGGUCACUGAAGAAAUUCGAGACGAAGAUAACACAGAACGGGAGGUGACAUCUUAACUGAUCACACGAAUACUGGGUGCCUUUGGUGGUUGCUAUAUUAUCCUAUCUUUCGCACCUCUAUGUAUCAUUUAAGGGCUUUUCCGGUUCUAUCCUUUUGCUGCUUCUGCACAUUCUUUUAAAGGCUUGCCCUCUCCCUGAGGCUAAGAAAUAAGGUUCGGAAAGGCUAGACUUUGCAGGCUAGAGCUGAGAGCGGAGACUAGAAAUCUACAGAUAUGGAUGAAUUUCUGCAAGGAUUCUAAUGUUGUUUUGUAUCACAAACUGGUCACCAGAUGAAUUAUACACCUGAAACCAGUGAACCUGCUGAUUCUACACAAUUAAAAGACGAGUCAAUCUCGGUACCAGAGAAUGAUGAUGUCAAACCAGACGAGACUCGUUCUGACGGGACAAAUGGAGGAUCCACAAGAUAAACACAAACCUCUUUCUCCUGAACAUCAGGGCCAAAAAAAGGUGAUGGCUUAUACCCAACAAGGAUUCAAAUGAGGGGAAUUAGAAAUAACAAACUAGAAAAUGAGAUAUGAAAGAACAUGGAGGAAUGUGUGCCAGACGAGAGAGGGAAGGAUAUCUAGACAAGACAGAAGGGAUACAUUGGACAGACAGAGAAAGUGAACAGAUUACUGAAAAAAUGAUAGCCAGUGGGAGACAGUCAAUGUUGUUUUCAGGACUGAAUGAUAGAAAAGAGAGUAGGAGCAAGAAUAAAAGAAGCGGGAAAGCGAAGAAUAAUCCAUGAGAAAAAUAUUUCUUUUUAGAUUUUUGGCUUGUCAGAAAACACAUAUCAAACGUUCAGAGGGCUGCUGUCAGAAAAGAAACACCAGCAAAUGAGGGAGGAUAAGGGCAUUCAAUGAACUGAACCAAGACAUUUUUUCCCAACAAACAUUUUCAGCAGGUGAUUGAUGAACCUGAUACACCUGAAACUAGUGAACCUGCUAAUUCUACACGAGUACAGCCAACCUCAGGACCAGAGAAUGAUGAUGUCCAACCAGACGAGAAUCACUCAGGACCCACAAGAGAGAGACAAACCACCUUCAUCUGACCAUCAGGACCAAGAGAAGGCUCCAUGUGACACAUACCCAAGACAGAUUGCAAUUAUUGAUUAUGAUUUGGAAUGUAUUUUAGAGAUAUGGAGGAAGAGGAGGACCAGUAAGAUGUGGAAUUUUGAUUUUCCUGCAUGACAUUAUCUGGACAAAGAAGCUUGUUCAAAUGCAAUGAUAGCAUAAAGAUCUAUAUGUUCUAACAUUCUACAUCUGAUUCCGUUUAUUUCAUUUAUUAGGAUCCCCAUUAGCUACUGCACAUGCAGCAGCUACUUUUCCUGGGGUCCACAUAAAAUGUGCAAAUACAUGACGAAGUACAGAACAGUAAUAGACAAGAACAACAUAAGAUAUUACAUUAAAUUCAAAAAAAUUUUUUUAAUCAAAUAAAAGUUAUAUACAAGAAAGACACCAAGAGACAACAAAACUACUAUUUACACACUAUUCAUAUAUAAUAUAUACAUAUUCAUAUAUACAGAGCAGUUAAAUUCAAUCUUUAAAAAGAGGAGAGGUGCUGUGAUACAAUAUGUUUUUUUAUCUGUAUUUUAAAAAGGUAAACUUGUUUUUUGCCUGAGUAAACUCUGGUGGCAGAGCAGUCCACAAUGACAUGGCUCUAUACAUAACUGAGCAAUGCAUUAAAUAUGUUUUUGGUUUGGGUACCAUGAAGAAACCCAAAGUGGUGUGCCAUGGCGAUUUUAUCAUGUCAAUCUUGGUGGGGCAAAAGCAACCAAUUUUUUUUUAGACGCAUGACAGCAAAGCCACUACACAACAUGUUAUUAUUUUAUUAGGCCUGUGUGGUCUAAAAAGGAAGGACAAUACAAUUACGAAGAUCCACUUUUAUAGACAAUAUACCGAAGCACUGACGGCGCAUUGCGCAAGCAAAACAACCCUGGGCAAUAUCAACUGGAAUUACAUGGGUCUAUCUAUACUACUGAACUUUUUGUUGAAAAAUAAUAUUUGAAUGGGAAGAGAUUGUCAUUGGAUAACAUGGUUACAGACCCAAAAAUAUUAUUUACUAUCCCCUCCUCGUGAUAAAAUGCACGUGAGAUAACAUAAUACAUAAUGAUGAAUUAGAUACUAAUGAGAUAGACCUACAGUGCAUUUAGAAAUUAUUCAGACUCCUUCACUUUCCCCAAAUUUUGUUACGUUUCAGGCUUAUUCUAGUUCCCCCCUCUCAAUCUACACACAAUACCCCAUAAUGACGAAGCAAAAACUUUUUUUUGAAUUUUUUGCAAAUGUAUAAAACAUAAAAACAGAAAUAUAAAAUUGACUCAGUACUUUGUUGAAGCACCUUUGGCAGCGAUUACAACCUCGAGUCCUCUUGGGUAUGACGCUACAAGCUUGGCACACUUGUAUUUGGGGAAUUUCUCCCAUUCUUCUCUGCAGAUCCUCUCAAGCUCUGUAAGGUUGGAUUAAGGACAUUCAGAGACUUGUCCCGAAGCCACGCCUGCAUUGUCUUGGCUGUGUGCUUAGGUUCGUUGUCAUGUUGAAAGGUGAACCUUCACCCCAGUCUGAGGUUCUGAGCGCUCAGAAACAGGUUUUCAUCAAGGAUCUCUGUACUUUGCUCCGUUCAUCUUUCCCUCGAUCCUUACUAGUCUCCCAGUCCCUGCUGCUAAACAACAUCCCCACAGCAUGAUGCUGCCACCACUAUGCUUCACCGUAGGGAUGGUAUUGGCCAGGUGAUGAUCGGAGCCUGGUUUCCUCCAGACCCGACGCUUGGCAUUCAGGCCAAAGAGUUCAAACUUAGUUUCAUCAGACCAGAGAAUCUUGUUUCUCAUAGUUUCAGAGUCCUUUAGGUGCCUUUUGGCAAACUCCAAGCGGGCUGUCAUGUGCCUUUUACUGAGGAGUGGCUUCCGUCUGGCCACUACCAUAAAGAACUGUUUAGUGGAGUGCUGCAGAGAUUGUUGUCCUUCUGGAAGGUUCUCCCAUCUCCACAGAGGAUCUCUGGAGCUUUGUCAGAGUGCUCAUCGGAAUGGGAGAAAGUGUGCUUUAUAGUAUUUUUAUUUACUGUACACUACAGUAGUUUGGAUGCUUUACUAACAUAACGUUGGUAACAGUGGAUUCUAUUACUAGGCAAAGUUGGUUUAACGUCGCUGUCCAAUGACCUGACAAGCCGUAGGCGCGUGGGUGAAAUCCUCCUCCAUGAUGUAAUCGGAACUAGGAAAGUCAGAAAUGUCCGACUUGAUAACUGGUUGAACGCGCACUUUUAUAACUGCAACCAGUUAGCAAGUCUGACAUUUCCCAGUUUUCUAGUUCCAAGUAGUACGUGAACAUGCCAUUAGUCAGAGACACUGUAUAUAAUGACGAGAGGGUCUUGUCUCCGCCCAAACAAUGGGAGUCAUUGUCCCAAAGGCGGUUGGUCUGCUUAUCGCUGUAUUCGCGCGUGGAAGCGAUUUUGACGGGAGAGGACCCUCUCGCUUUGCCGCCAUCUCUCUGGGUUAGUCCAAGGUAUACAUGGCAUCGAAGCAUGUGACAUCCUGACUGUAAUUUGGUCAGGCAGGUUGAGGAAAGUAAGCUCAAGAAACCAUUAUCAAAGAAACCAUUAUCAACAAGAACUUGGCUGUUCAUCAUAGCCCAACAUUCAGUCUAUAUGAAAUUGUAGCAUGUUAGGAAAUAUUUGAGCAACAUUUAUCCCCAUGAGUUCGCAUAUAACUUUUGGUUAUUCAAUUGGAUGAGAUAUCUGACCUGCAUGAUAUCUGACUUACAGUAGAGGUCAACCGAUUAUGAUUUUAACACCGAUACCGAUUAUUGGAGGACCAAAAAAAGCUGAUACCGAUUAAAUCGGACGAUUUUUAUGUAUAAACUCAGUAAAAAAAGAAACGUCUCUCACUGUCAACUGUGUUUAUUUUCAGCAAACUUAACAUGUGUAAAUAUUUGUAUGAACAUAACAAGAUUCAACAACUGAGACAUAAACUGAACAAGUUGCACAGACAUGUAACUAACAGAAAUUGAAUAAUGUGUCCCUGAACAAAGGGGGGGGGGUCAAAAUCAAAGUAACAGUCAGUAGCUGGUGUGGCCACCAGCUGCAUUAAGUACUGCUGUGCAUCUCCUCCUCAUGGACUGCACCAGAUUUGCAAGUUCUUGCUGUGAGAUGUUACACCACUCUUCCACCAAGGCACCUGCAAGUCUCCGGACAUUUCUGGGGGGAAUGGCCCUAGCCCUCAGAACACUGACACUCCUUCCUGUCUUGCAGGAAAUCACACACAGAACGAGCAGUAUGGCUGGUGGCAUUGUCAUGCUGGGGGGUCAUGUCAGGAUGAGCCUGCAGGAAGGGUACCACAUGAGGGAGGAGGAUGUCUUCCCUGUAACGCACAGCGUUGAGAUUGCCUGCAAUGACAACAAGCUCAGUCCGAUGAUGCUGUGACACACCGGCCCAGACCAUGACGGACCCUCCACCUCCAAAUCGAUCCCGCUCCUGAGUACAGGCCUCGGUGUAACGUUCAUUCCUUUCUUCCUCACCCCUGGUGAGACAAAACCGCAACUCGUCUGUGAAGAGCACUUGUUGUUGCCGGUGAUGUCUGGUGAGGACCUGCCUUACAACAGGCCUAUAAGCCCUCUGUCCAGCCUCUCUCAGUCUAAUGCGGACAGUCUGAGCACUGAUGGAGGGAUUGUGCGUUCCUGGUGUAACUCUGGCAGUUGUUGUUGCCAUCCUGUACCUGUCCCGCAGGUGUUGCCUCCUUACAUGUGGUCUGCCACUUCGAGGACGAUCAGCUGUCCGUCCUGUCUCCCUGUAGCACUGUCUUAGGCGUCUCACAGUACGGACAUUGCAAUGUAUUGCCCUGGCCACAUCUGCAAAUCAAAUCAAAUGUAUUUAUAUAGCCCUUCUUACAUCAGCUGAUAUCUCAAAGUGCUGUACAGAAACCCAGCCCAAAACCCCAAACAGCAAGCAAUGCAGGUGUAGAAGCACGGUGGCUAGGAAAAACUCCCUAGAAAGGCUAAAACCUAGGAAGAAACCUAGAGAGGAACUAGGCUAUGAGGGAUGGCCAGUCCUCUUCUGGCUGUGCCGGGUGGAGAUUAUAACAGAACAUGGCUAAGAUGUUCAAAUGUUCAUAAAUGACCAGCAUGGUCAAAUAAUAAUAAUCACAGUGGUUGUCGAGUGUUGAGAGUAUCUCUACCGCUCCUGCUGUCUCUAGAGAGUUGAAAACAGCAGGUCUGGGACAGGUAGCAGGUCUGGGACAGGUAGCACGUCCGGCGAACAGGUCAGGGUUUCAUAGCCGCAGGUAGAACAGUUGAAAGCAGCAGCACGGCCAGGUGGACUGGGGACAGCAAGGAGUCAUCAUGCCAGGUAGUCUCAGGUCUUCCGAGAGAGAAAGAGAGAAUUAGAGAGUUCAUACUUAAAUUCACACAGGACACCGGUUAAGACAGGAGAAGUACUCCAGAUAUAACAGACUGACCCUAGCCCCCCGACACAAACUACUGCAGCAUAAAUACUGGAGGCUGAGACAGGAGGGGUCAGGAGACACUGUGUCCCCAUCUGAUGAUACCCCCGGACAGGGCCAAACAGGCAGGAUAUAACCCCACCCACUUUGCCAAAGCACUGCCCUCACACCACGAGAGGGAUAUCUUCUACCACCAACUUACCAUCCUGAGACAAGGCCUCGUAUAGCCCACAAAGAUCUCCGCCACGGCACAGCCCAAGGGGGGGCACCAACCCAGUCCUCAUGCCUCCUUGCAGCAUGCCCAAGGCACGUUCACGCAGAUGAGCAGGGACCCUGGGCAUCUUUCGUUUGGUGUUUUUCAGAGUCAGUAGAAAGGCCUCUUUAGUGUCCUAAGUUUUCAUAACUGUGACCUUAAUUGCCUACCAUCUGUAAGCUGUUAGUGUCUUAACGACCGUUCCACAGGUGCAUGUUCAUUAAUGUGUAUGGUUCAUUGAACAAGCAUAGGAAACAGUGUAGGGCACAACUUAAGAUCUUUGAAGUUAUUUGGAUUUUUACAAAUUAUCUUUGAAAGACGUUGUUACACGUGGUCUGCCACUGCGAGGACGAUCAGCUGUCAGUCCGGUCUCCCUGUUCUUUUUUUUAAUUGAACAAAACUUAGAUCUCCUAAACCAGUGUUAACCUCAGACCUUAUUUUUGGCGUUUCUCUAAAAACCCUACAAAUUUUUUUUGGGGGGGGGGUAAAUAGUGAAGACAUCACAACUAUGAAAUAACACAUAAGGAAUCAUGUAGUAACCAAAAAAGUGUUCAUAGUUUAUGUCUUCACUAUUAUUCUACAAUGUAAAAGAAUAGUACAAAUAAAGAAAAACCCUGGAAUGAGUAGGUGUGUCCAAACUUUGGACUGGUACUUUAUAUAUUUACCCCCAAAAAUAUGGGGGAUUGGAAAUGGAGACAAUUAUAUUGAUGGGAGUAACACUCUAUCUGCAAUAUUAAAGCUGACCUACCCCCUGAUGUUGUAGUCCUUGACUAAAGACUGACUCACUUCACAGAAAAAUGGGGUUUGGUUUGAAGUUCCAAGACCUAAAGCCUAGGAGCAACACAAACAGAAGCUCCACAGGCUAUAGUGAAAAGUGAAGGUCUGAAGGAAUUAUGUGGGCUAAUAGGAAACUUCUGUUCCCUCUAUGGUGACCCAGGAGGAUCUGACCAAUCAAACAAGGGGAGGAAGCAACCUGCCGCCAUGGGAACCAGCAGCCAGUGACUUGUGUGCUGUCCUAAAGCAUCAAGCCACUCUGAGCCAAUAGUAGACCAGUUCACACAAUUCUUCCUUUUACAUUAGUUGUUAUGUUGUGUUAUUUAUCAGACACUUUUGUAUAUUAUGCUAAAUAAAUAUACACAUCUAUGUAUAGACAUUUCUUAGAAUUAUACUUAAAUCAUUAACACCGGCUAAUUUAUGCAAACUAAUUUGAGUGCCUUCCAGGUCCCCUGUGAAGUGAACUAGUGGUUGUUUGUCUGAGCCAGUGUGGAGAGGUGGUUGGGAGUGCUGCUAGUGACCAGAAGAUGGCAGGCUUAGAUCACAUCCACCUGUCAGUCAUGAACAUGUUGAUAUCAGUUGUAAACAUGCCCUAAGUUUCUCAAAUUCUUGGCGUCAAGAGAAGUGUGUACACAAUCUAGAUACAGGAGGAGAGUGACAUGUUAUCACAAUGUACGUGUAUAAACAGGGCUUAACAUAAUACAAUAAAAGAGUAUCUGAUCAUUUUUUA